UACAAAAGGUGCAAGUGUUAUUCAGAUCGAUUGGGCGUAAAGGGUUAGUAGGCUGUUAAUGCUCCAUAGUAUAAAAAACUUUAGUGAAAAAUAAAGUCAAAGUAUUAUAAAAAGCUUAACUUGAGUUAUAUGGAAUUGUGAGUUAUGCUAAUUGUAAACGGUAAAAUGUAAUCAUAAGAGGUGGAGCGCCAAAACGAAGGUUUCAAUUUACAUAUAACUGACGCUGAGGGACGUAGGUACGGGGAUCAAACAGG
rnacentral:rRNA from 1 species